UGGGUAAUAUUGGACAAUGGGCGAAAGCCUGAUCCAGCCAUGCCGCGUGUGUGAAGAAGGUCUUCGGAUUGUAAAGCACUUUAAGUUGGGAGGAAGGGCAGUAAGCGAAUACCUUGCUGUUUUUACGUUACCGACAGAAUAAGCACCGGCUAACUCUGUGCCAGCAGCCGCGGUAAUACAGAGGGUGCAAGCGUUAAUCGGCAAUACUGGGCGUAAAGCGCGCGUAGGUGGUUCGUUAAGUUGAAUGUGAAAGCCCCGGGCUCAACCUGGGAACUGCAUCAAAAACUGGCGAGCUAGAGUAGGGCAGAGGGUAGUGGAAUUUCCUGUGUAGCGGUGAAAUGCGUAGAUAUAGGAAGGAACACCAGUGGCGAAGGCGACCACCUGGGCUCAUAAUGACACUGAGGUGCGAAAGAGUGGGGAGCAAACAGG
rnacentral:rRNA from 1 species